UGAACAUCGACAUCUUGAACGCAUAUUGCGGCCACGGGUUAGCCUGUGGCCACGCCUGUCCGAGGGUCGGCUUAUAAACUAUCACGACGCCCAACUAGUCGUGGCUUGGGUUUUGCCAGCUGACGUGUAUCCCCUAUUUGGCCUUUGGUCAAUGUGGGUAGUCAGAUCUAUGGCGUUUCCCUAAUGUAUCCAGGCACAACCAUAUCUUGGCGGCGGUCAGGAUGAGGGUGUGGCGAUGGAGUCGUGGCUUAAUUGUUUGCGCUCUGUUGCUGUGCUUUUGUCUUUGGACGUUGUUGGGUUUGGCUCUGUGACUGAUCCUACCUUUUGGUUCAUUUACCUGACCUCGGAUCAGACGUGAUUACCCGCUGAACUUAAGCAUA
rnacentral:rRNA from 1 species